UCUGCGUUUGGAAAGAUUUUUCGGUUGGGGAGGGGCUCGCGGCCUAUCAGCUUGUUGGUGAGGUAAUGGCUCACCAAGGCGUCGACGGGUAGCCGGCCUGAGAGGGUGACCGGCCACACUGGGACUGAGACACGGCCCAGACUCCUACGGGAGGCAGCAGUGGGGAAUAUUGCACAAUGGGCGGAAGCCUGAUGCAGCAACGCCGCGUGAGGGAUGACGGCCUUCGGGUUGUAAACCUCUUUUAGCAGGGAAGAAGCGAAAGUGACGGUACCUGCAGAAAAAGCGCCGGCUAACUACGUGCCAGCAGCCGCGGUAAUACGUAGGGCGCAAGCGUUAUCCGGAAUUAUUGGGCGUAAAGAGCUCGUAGGCGGUUUGUCGCGUCUGCUGUGAAAUCCCGAGGCUCAACCUCGGGCCUGCAGUGGGUACGGGCAGACUAGAGUGCGGUAGGGGAGAUUGGAAUUCCUGGUGUAGCGGUGGAAUGCGCAGAUAUCAGGAGGAACACCGAUGGCGAAGGCAGAUCUCUGGGCCGUAACUGACGCUGAGGAGCGAAAGGGUGGGGAGCAAACAGGCUUAGAUACCCUGGUAGUCCACCCCGUAAACGUUGGGAACUAGUUGUGGGGUCCAUUCCACGGAUUCCGUGACGCAGCUAACGCAUUAAGUUCCCCGCCUGGGGAGUACGGCCGCAAGGCUAAAACUCAAAGGAAUUGACGGGGACCCGCACAAGCGGCGGAGCAUGCGGAUUAAUUCGAUGCAACGCGAAGAACCUUACCAAGGCUUGACAUAUACGAGAACGGGCCAGAAAUGGUCAACUCUUUGGACACUCGUAAACAGGUGGUGCAUGGUUGUCGUCAGCUCGUGUCGUGAGAUGUUGGGUUAAGUCCCGCAACGAGCGCAACCCUCGUUCUAUGUUGCCAGCACGUAAUGGUGGGAACUCAUGGGAUACUGCCGGGGUCAACUCGGAGGAAGGUGGGGAUGACGUCAAAUCAUCAUGCCCCUUAUGUCUUGGGCUUCACGCAUGCUACAAUGGCCGGUACAAAGGGCUGCAAUACCGUGAGGUGGAGCGAAUCCCAAAAAGCCGGUCCCAGUUCGGAUUGAGGUCUGCAACUCGACCUCAUGAAGUCGGAGUCGCUAGUAAUCGCAGAUCAGCAACGCUGCGGUGAAUACGUUCCCGGGUCUUGUACACACCGCCCGUCAAGUCAUGAAAGUCGGUAACACCUGAAGCCGGUGGCCUAACCCUUGUGGAGGGAGCCGUCGAAG
rnacentral:rRNA from 1 species